rnacentral:rRNA from 1 species
AAUCUCAGUUCAGACUGCAGGCUGCAACUCGCCUGCACGAAGUCGGAAUUGCUAGUAAUCGUAGGUCAGCAUACUACGGUGAAUACGUUCCCGGGUCUUGUACACACCGCCCGUCACACCAUGGGAGUCAGUAACGCCCGAAGCCGGUGACCCAACCUAUUCUGGAGGGAGCCGUCGAAGGCGGGACGGAUGACUGGGGUGAAGUCGUAACAAGGUAAC